GGGGAUAACAGGCUGAUACCGCCCAAGAGUUCACAUCGACGGCGGUGUUUGGCACCUCGAUGUCGGCUCAUCACAUCCUGGGGCUGAAGUCGGUCCCAAGGGUAUGGCUGUUCGCCAUUUAAAGUGGUACGCGAGCUGGGUUUAGAACGUCGUGAGACAGUUCGGUCCCUAUCUGCCGUGGGUGUUGAAUACUUGAGAGGAGCUGCCCCUAGUACGAGAGGACCGGGGUGGACGUAUCUCUGGUGGACCUGUUGUCGCGCCAGCGGCAUAGCAGGGUAGCUAUAUACGGAAGGGAUAACCGCUGAAUGCAUCUAAGCGGGAAGCCCCCC
rnacentral:rRNA from 1 species